rnacentral:sRNA from 1 species
GGAGGGGAAGCGAUGGCUGGGCCCGCGUGGAUCUCCAAGGUCUCUCGGCUGCUGGGGGCAUUCCACAACCCAAAACAGGUGACCAGAGGUUUUACUGGUGGUGUGAGUAUAAUUAUGUCUUUUAUUUUUUCCUUUUAGAAGUUUCUCAAGAAAGAUGCUCUAAUACAUUUAUUAUAUAGCAUUUUAUCUCCAUUCAUUUAGAAUUCGGGAAAAUUGGCCAUAUUUAUAAUGUAUGUUGAAAUUAUUGGCUGACAUGCACAAAUCUGUUAGGUUACUUGCACAUUUGAAAGAAUUAUCUUACAGCUGGCUAUGUAAGUUUGUCACAUUAAUAUCUUGAGGGAGCCUUGUUAAAAAUAGAAAGUACCCUUGAGCCUGUUAUUUUAUUUUACAAUCUCGUUUUGGUGAGACAGCUUUUUUCAAAACUAGUACAAGUUGAGAGAAAAUUGUUGAGAAGCUUCAAAACCUGCUUUGCAUUUUUAUUUUAUGAGCUUCCCUAAACCCAGUAGAUCAAGUGCCAAUUAGGAAUGCCUCGAACAUCUAUAAGCCUUGUAGGCUUAUA